rnacentral:rRNA from 1 species
UGCAAGUCUGCCCCCGGGCAGGCCUAACCUCCCACCCGUGAAUACCUGACCAACGUUGCUUCGGCGGUGCGCCCCCCCCGGGGGCAGCCGCCGGAGACCACACCGAACCUCUUGUUAUAGCGUGUCGUCUGAGCUUGAUACAAGCAAACCUAAUUAAAACUUUCAACAAUGGAUCUCUUGGUUCCGGCAUCGAUGAAGAACGCAGCGAACUGCGAUAAGUAAUGUGAAUUGCAGAAUUCAGUGAAUCAUCGAGUCUUUGAACGCACAUUGCGCCCCCUGGCAUUCCGGGGGGCAUGCCUGUCCGAGCGUCAUUGCUGCCCUUCAAGCCCGGCUUGUGUGUUGGGUCGUCGUCCCCCCCGGGGGACGGGCCCGAAAGGCAGCGGCGGCACCGCGUCCUGGUCCUCGAGCGUAUGGGGCUUUGUCACCCGCUCGUUUAGGGCCGGCCGGGCGCCAGCCGACGUCUCCAAACCUUUUAUUUUACCAGGUUGACCUCGGAUCAGGUAGGGAUACCCGCUGAACUUAAGCAUAUCAAUAAGCGGAGGA